CCUACGGGAGAUAGCAGUGAGGAAUAUUGGUCAAUGGGCGCGAGCCUGAACCAGCCAAGUAGCGUGAAGGAUGACUGCCCUACGGGUUGUAAACUUCUUUUAUAAAGGAAUAAAGUGAGGCACGUGUGCCUUUUUGUAUGUACUUUAUGAAUAAGCAUCGGCUAACUCCGUGCCAGCAGCCGCGGUAAUACGGAGGAUGCGAGCGUUAUCCGGAUUUAUUGGGUUUAAAGGGUGCGUAGGUUGUUUUUUAAGUCAGCGGUGAAAGUUUGUGGCUCAACCAUAAAAUUGCCGUUGAAACUGGAAGACUGGAGUGUGUGUGAGGUAGGCGGAAUGCGUGGUGUAGCGGUGAAAUGCAUAGAUAUCACGCAGAACUCCGAUUGCGAAGGCAGCUUACUAAGCCAUAACUGACACUGAAGCACGAAAGCGUGGGGAUCAAACAGGAUUAGAUACCCCAGUAGUC
rnacentral:rRNA from 1 species